rnacentral:rRNA from 1 species
GAUGAACGCUGGCGGCGUGCCUAAUACAUGCAAGUCGAACGAAACUUCUUUAUCACCGAGUGCUUGCACUCACCGAUAAAGAGUUGAGUGGCGAACGGGUGAGUAACACGUGGGCAACCUGCCCAAAAGAGGGGGAUAACACUUGGAAACAGGUGCUAAUACCGCAUAACCAUAGUUACCGCAUGGUAACUAUGUAAAAGGUGGCUAUACUACCGCUUUUGGAUGGGCCCGCGGCGCAUUAGCUAGUUGGUAGGGUAAAGGCUUACCAAGGCAAUGAUGCGUAGCCGAAUUGAGAGGUUGAUCGGCCACAUUGGGACUGAGACACGGCCCAAACUCCUACGGGAGGCAGCAGUAGGGAAUCUUCCACAAUGGGCGAAAGCCUGAUGGAGCAACGCCGCGUGUGUGAAGAAGGUCUUCGGAUCGUAAAACCCUGUUGUUAGAGAAGAAAGUGCGUGAGAGUAACUGUUCACGUUUCGACGGUAUCUAACCAGAAAGCCACUGCUAACUACGUG